GAUAAGAUGGCUGAAGUUUUAGGCUGUAAAUUGUAAAUUUAUAUAUGGUAAUAUAACCUCUUAUCA
rnacentral:tRNA from 1 species